rnacentral:rRNA from 1 species
AACGUAGGAGACGAACGUUAUCCGGAGUUACUGGGCGUAAAGGGCGUGUAGGCGGUUUGUUAAGUCUGGCGUGAAAGCUCUCGGCUAAACCGGGAGAGGUCGUUGGAUACUGGCGAACUAGAGGAUGGUAGAGGCGUGUGGAAUUCCGGGUGUAGUGGUGAAAUGCGCAGAUAUCGGGAGGAACACCAAUGGCGAAGGCAGCUUGCUGGGACGGUACUGACGCUGAGACGCGAAAGCGUGGGGAGCAAACAGG